rnacentral:rRNA from 1 species
GACGAACGCUGGCGGCGUGCUUAACACAUGCAAGUCGAACGGAAAGGCCCUGCUUUUGUGGGGUGCUCGAGUGGCGAACGGGUGAGUAACACGUGAGUAACCUGCCCUUGACUUUGGGAUAACUUCAGGAAACUGGGGCUAAUACCGGAUAGGAGCUCUUGCUGCAUGGUGGGGGUUGGAAAGUUUCGGCGGUUGGGGAUGGACUCGCGGCUUAUCAGCUUGUUUGUGGGGUAGUGGCUUACCAAGGCUUUGACGGGUAGCCGGCCUGAGAGGGUGACCGGCCACAUUGGGACUGAGAGACGGCCCAGACUCCUACGGGAGGCAGCAGUGGGGAAUAUUGCACAAUGGGCGGAAGCCUGAUGCAGCAACGCCGCGUGCGGGAUGACGGCCUUCGGGUUGUAAACCGCUUUCGCCUGUGACGAAGCGUGAGUGACGGUAAUGGGUAAAGAAGCACCGGCUAACUACGUG